rnacentral:lncRNA from 1 species
CCAGGGUGACGGCCGGCAGCGUCGUCUCGCGUCCUGUCGCCUGUCGUCAGAACACCGCGAUGCUGUGAUCCCUGCUUCUAUCCCCAUUUCACCCAUGAGGAAGCCAGAGGAUGGUGUGGGCUGAGGUCCCGCUUAGACCCAGCCCAGCCCUGGAGGCUUCCAGGCCACCUCCCUCUCCCGCCCCCCACCCCGGGGCGGCUCUGACCCCACGACGCGGCUCUGCUUCCGGGGAGAAUCCGUGGGGUCAGGUGGCACCGGGUCACGGGGACGGCUACGUGGCGGGCCACGCCAUGGACACUCCCGUGGGCCAGCAGAGCAGACGCGCUGCGGGAUUUUACAGUAACGAGGGCCGCCCUGCCUGGUGGUUCCAACAGCAGCGGUGCUGAGCCGGACACCCGGCUACAGCACAAGUCCCAGAGAUGGCGGCUCCCGGGGACGCCCAGUGCAGAGCCCUUACCCGGGGGACCCGGCUGGCUCAUUCCCUGUCCUCCCCGGUGCGUGAGGACCCGAGGAGAGGCGGGCCGUGUGAGACCUGCCGGGGGCCCGCCCCGGCCCACAGCCGUGCUGGCUCCCUGAUCCUGGACGGCGCUGCGUGUGAGCCGCACCUGAGCUGGCUGAGACCAGCGGAUGCACCGGCUCCCACGUGCCCCCGGGGAGUCCCAGCCAGGCCCGCUGCAGCCCCUGGAAACACCCACCUCCGGCCGGGCGCUCUGGGCACCCCCUUGCUCCAGGGCCGCGGGGCUCAAUGCACGCAUGCCAGUCUUCGCCCUCCACAAUGGCACAGAGAGGGAGGGCAGCGGGGUCUCCCUGAGAAAUCCUGGCUGGACCUGGGGCAGACAAGUUCCCCCAUGUAAGGGGCUGCCCGUCCCAGGCUCCCCAGAACCCUGGGGCUUCUUGGGUGGGCCCCCUGGACACCUCCCCUCUCCCCCAGCCCCGGUUCCCACCCAGGGCUUCACCCCUGCUUCUGCAGGGCUCUCACCGCGGGCUGCUCCGAGGGAGGAGCCAGCGCCGUCACGGUCCUCUUGACAUUGUCCAGCUGAACACGGAAUUCCUGAAAGAAAACCCCAACUUCCAGGCUUCCCAAGCCAGCAGCUGCCGGCGGGAGAGCCCAGGGCCCAGCCAGCCCUCGGCAGCUGCUGCCCAGGUGGCUCAGGGUCCCACCACUGCCCCCGUGUCCCCCUUCCCGCUCUACCCAGGCGGCUCACCUCUCACAUCCUGCAGGGUUUACACACAGCGGGUUAGGCCAGCAGGAUCUCAGCUGCACGGGGGGAGACAGGGACACCCCUGCCCCACCUCGCAGCUCGAGGAACCGUCUCCAUCACCCCCCUCUCCAAGGCGCCCCCUUGCACAACAAACAACGCCCCCCGGGCUGACGAGCGCCCCCAUCCAAGGCACAGCCCACCCUGCCUGCUCACAAGCCCCUCCCCCCGACACCAGUGCCAGGCAGCGGCCUGGGCACCAAGUCCCCUGCCCUCGUCACCCAUGGAAGACCCCGGCAGCUGAGACCCCCUCCUUGCUGGGGGCAGCCCUGGUCCAGACUGUGACACCCACAGCCAGGCCCUGGACUCUCACUGGCUGGUGGGCUCCUCGCGGCUGUCCAACUCCUGACUGCCAGGAACAAACAGCACUUCCAGCUGUGAUCCAGCCGGGGCGCCGCCCCCCAGCUUCUUUCUGGAAGCUUCCUGGGGAGAAGCUCCAGGGCGUCAGGCCCGGGGGGGCGGGGGGGGCUGGUCACUGGCCUAGGCGUCCCCAAGCAAGCCCAACAGCUCAUGCCAAAGCAAUCAGCUUCUCAGAUAGGUCAAGUGCAUCUUCUGACCCCUCCAGGGGCCACUGUCCCUUCAACCUGGACAUGGGGACGGACCCCCAACACCCCCUCCUCGGAGCCGGCGAGAGCCGCGAGGCACAGGUGCAGGAGGGGGCACUGAAGGAAGAGGAAGCCACCGGCCUCCGACUGGGCCGGCUCAGGCACACAGGGGACUCUCCCCGCCACGCAAACAGCAGAAUCCACACAAACUCCCUGAGCGAGGCCACGUCACCGUGAGAGUGGAAGGCAGGCGCUGGUCACCGUGGCUUCCGUGGNNNNNNNNNNNNNNNNNNNNNNNNNNNNNNNNNNNNNNNNNNNNNNNNNNNNNNNNNNNNNNNNNNNNNNNNNNNNNNNNNNNNNNNNNNNNNNNNNNNNNNNNNNNNNNNNNNNNNNNNNNGCAGAGCCCACGCGUGCCCCACCUUGGCUCUCUGACUGGGCCACAGCAAUCACGAGGAGCCUUGAGGACAGGGGGAGCAACGUCACCAAGAUGAAUUUGAAAGACAGAGGAGGGGGUUGGCGCCGUGGCUCACUUGCUAAUCCUCUGCCUGCGGCGCCGGCACCCCUGGUUCUAGUCCCGGUUGGGGCGUCAGAUUCUGUCCUGGUUGCUCCUCUUCCAGUCCAGCUCUCUGCUGUGGCCCGGGAGGGCAGUAGAGGAUGGCCCAAGUGCUUGGGCCCUGCACCCCAUGGGAGACCAGGAAGAAGCACCUGGCUCCUGGUUUCGGAUCGGCUCAGCGCCAGCCAUAGCGGCCAUUUGGGGAGUGAACCAGCGGAAGGAAGACCUUUCUCUCUGUCUCUUUUUCAUUGUCUAUAUCUCUACUUGUCAAAAAAAAAAAAAAGAAGAAGAAGAACACAGAGGAGGGGGCUGUGAGCGGGGCAGGUGGCCUCUAGCCACGAGGCAAGGCCGGGCAACAUCCCCCCGGGAGCCCUGUGAGGGGCACGGGCUGCCAGCACCAGCGCUUCCUCCCAGCGGGGAGCGCUCGCGACUUCUCGCCCCAGGAACUGAGGUCAUUGGUCGCACGUUCAUCGUGUGGGGAAGUGUGACACAGCCCUGGCAAGCUCAGGAGUUGUCUCCUCCUCUGCCAUGGCGCACACCCACGCCACGGCGUCCUCCUGGCCUCACCCUGCCCACCACCUCUAAGACCGGAAGCCCCAGGAGCCAGCACGGCUAUGGCGUCAGAGCUCAGUCCCGGGCUGGCGCUGUGGCUUAGCGGGUAAAGCCGCCGCCUGCGGUGCCAGC